rnacentral:tRNA from 1 species
AGUAGGGUCAGCUAAUU